rnacentral:lncRNA from 1 species
UGUGGUCCUCAGCCUGCAUCCUGUUAAGUAAAAGAAGACAUAAUGGUAAAGAAGACAGAAAAACAUUUAAAGUUUUGUUUUGCAAAGAGGCUUUCUAGGGUUGAAUGUAUAACAUUUAAAGAGCACUUACGAUAUGGGAAUCGCCUGCCAGACUGAAACACAAAAAUACUCACCUGAUUCCUUCCCACUGCCAGGACAGCCCAGUUUGUGUGACGGUCAUAACAGCACUGUGUGGGAAGGAGGCAGCCAGACCCUGAGAUAAAGGUUUGAAUGUAAAUUAAUUUAGAAAUGAUAAUAUGGACACGUUCUAGGAAAUAUACUUUACUAUUGUGACCUCAGCAGUGA